rnacentral:rRNA from 1 species
UGGGGAAUUUUGGGCAAUGGGGGGAACCCUGACCCAGCGACGCCGCGUGAGGGAAGACGGCCUUCGGGUUGUAAACCUCUUUUGUACGGGAAGAUAAUGACGGUACUGUACGAAUAAGUCCCGGCUAACUACGUGCCAGCAGCCGCGGUAACACGUAGGGGACGAGCGUUGUCCGGAAUUACUGGGCGUAAAGGGCGCGCAGGCUGCGAUACAAGUCGGCUGUUAAAUGCAUGGGCUUACCCCAUGCCUGCGGUUGAAACUGUAUAGCUAGAGUACAGUAGAGGCAAGCGGAAUUCCCAGUGUAGCGGUGAAAUGCGUAGAUAUUGGGAGGAACACCGGUGGCGUAGGCGGCUUGCUGGACAGUAACUGACGCUGAGGCGCGAAAGCCAGGGGAGCAAACGGG